rnacentral:misc_RNA from 1 species
UUCUUUGAUUCAGUGAGCUAGAUAUAAUUGGAUCAAAGUUAAAAAUUUUAGGUACUGCUCAUGAUUGCAUAACACAAUAAUUUUACAAAUCAAUAACAAUAAAGAGAGAAAUAUACGUUGGACCUAUUAUCAAAGAGUAAACUGCAAAAAAAACACAGCACAAAAGUACAAUCCAAGUUAAGCAAAAACUAGAAAAUUUCAACAAAAGCAACUCCUAAAACACUAAAUUAGAAUUUCAUACGCGAAAAGCAGCAAAAUUUCUAGAAUUGUAUCUCAAUUUCCAACUAAAUUCACACAAAGAAAUAUUCUUUUUCGGGUGCUAAACUACACUUACAGAAUUAUUUGUUGGUUUAAAAG